GCCCCCGGUUAGCUCAGAUGGUAGAGCAUCAGACUUUUAAUCUGAGGGUCAUGGGUUCGAACCCCAUAUCGGGCG